UACGUAGGGUGCAAGCGUUAAUCGGAAUUACUGGGCGUAAAGCGUGCGCAGGCGGUGAUGUAAGACAGAUGUGAAAGCCCCGGGCUCAACCUGGGAAUUGCAUUCAAGACUGAAUAGCUAGGGUACGGUAGAGGGAAGUGGAAUUUCCGGUGUAGCGGUGAAAUGCGUAGAUAUCGGAAGGAACAUCAGUGGCGAAAGCGACUUCCUGGACCAGUACCGACGUUCAGGCACGAAAGCGUGGGGAGCAAACAGGA
rnacentral:rRNA from 1 species